ensembl:lncRNA
UUUCACUUUCACUUGCAAUAUCUACAAAAGGACUUGUAUCUAGAAAAUAUGCCAAUGGAUAAUAUUUUUACACCCAGCAGUUACAGAGACUUUUUAGGGACAGGCAUAGUGCUAAAUGCUGUCUGACAUUUAAUCUUCACAACCCUGUGUGUUAGGAAAUAUUUGCCACAUUUUACAAAGGGGAAAAUAAACCUUGGAAAAGUUCACCUGGAUUACUCAUUUAGUUUCACAACAACUCAGGAUAAGCAGUAGCAGAAACCAGCAGAACUCACUGGUGUCCCGCAGCAGAAGUGUGUUUCCUGUUUAUACAGUCAACUGUGGCUCCAGGUGACUCUCCAAGGCCACUGUUCUCCACACAGAGACUCUGUCCCAGGCAUAGUCUGGAACAAAAAACCUCAAAAGAGCAGAAAAGAAUGAAGCCUGCAAGUUUUCCCACCAGCAAUUAAAAACUUUGGCUGGGAAAUUACAUGUUACAUCUACUUACAAGGCAUUGGCCAGAAUUAGUCACGUAGACCCAACUAACUUCAGGAGAAAAAUAUCCACAUGGGUGCCCAGAAAGAAGAGAACUGAAUCUGGGGUGUUCCCAUAAAUAUGGUAUUUGUGCCCAUCUCUCCAUGAGAAAAGGAAAAUACAAGAAAUAACAGAAGCUGUGAUGAUUUCAGAAUUAUCACAGGGACCUUGAAAUUAUCAUUCUGAAAAUAAAAUUGUUUCUACAAAAGGCAAAA